rnacentral:lncRNA from 1 species
GGCUAAGUGGAUAGAGUACUGGGCCUAGAAUCAGAAAGACCUGAGUUCAGAUCCAACUUCAGACAUUUAUUAGUUGUGUAACCCUUUUCAAGUCACAUAAACCUCCAUUUGCUUUAAUUCACUGGAACAGGAAAUGGAAGACAACUCCAAAACCAAUGCCAAGGACACACCAUGGACAGAAUUGGUAUGAUAUAGUCUACCAGGUCACUAGCAAUCUGGCAUAAAUGGUUGCACAACAAGAAUGUUCUCACUAGUCAUUACUAAAUGUUUAAUAAAUGCUUAUUAAAUUAAGCUGAAUUAAAUUAAGAAAUAGUAGUUGAUUUGAAUUACACAAAGUUAAUCUGCCUCAUCAGGGAAGUUCAUCAUUUUUUUUUUCAUACUCAUACAUUAGAGAGGUUCUUCUGUGGCUUCUGAAUCACUCCUUGGAACACAACGAUUCCCAGGCUUAAGCUAUUGGCAUCACCAAUAUGGGAGCCGGCCAGGCAUCUGUCAACUUUUGGGGCUUCCUUCACACACAUAAGCCAUUCAGUUUAAAAAUUGGGGGGGGGGGGUUGCCUCGUUGACCACAGGAGACAGAACUACAUACAAACACCCAUCCUCAGUGGUUCUGCAAGCAGGAAACACUCUCUAAAUAUUUACUGGGAAAACAUGUUUUCCUUUCCCUGGAAGAAGACAGAUGCUUCACUAAGUGAUGGUGUUUGCUGCCAGGCUGGAGGAAGGAAGCAAAGGAAAGAAAGCUCAAGUUUCUCCAUGGAAGGCUUUUGUAUACACCGUGUGGAAGAUGCAUGAAGAGAGAGAGGACUUACAAGCCAAAUCAUGCAAGAAACAAAGCUGGGGACCUGAGCUGCAAAAUCAAGGUGAAGAUUCCAAAGGAAUGUUCCCAGGAGGAGGCAGUUGAAGCUGGCCAGGGAGAGAAACUGGGACUUGAUUCUCUCUCUGGGGGUGACUGACCAAGAAAGGAGAGAAAACCUGGAAUUUUGGCUUUGGGUUUUUCAGACCAAGGGAGGCAUGCUGGGCUGAAAGGGGAAGAAGCUGAACUGAUCUUAUUAGUUUCUGUCCCAGGCUGAAGGACCCUGGGGGGGGCUUCUGAAAUUAGGCUGAGAGACCUUGGUGGCUUUGUGAAUUGAAAGAAGAAAAGAAGACUUAACAGUUAUCCUCCAUCUCUCUGACUGUCCCCCUGUCACAGUUGUGACUUCCCAAACUUUCAUAAUCCUCAUUUUAGAUUAGGGAAACCCUCAUCCCUCUCACCUCAGUUUCCUUAUCCUGUUAUCCCAAUAAACACUUACCUGAGAAAAGAAAGGAAGAAGUU